AUGGAGGCAUAUUCCACACCUAAGCCACCUUUACAAGGGACAAAAUUUGACACCCUGGAGAGCGCACGUGACCACUACAACACCUACGCACGCAGGACUGGCUUUGCAAUUAGGUAGCAAUUCAAGAAAGAGAGGGUUGAUGGAACUAUAAGCAGGGUGCUACUAGUUUCUACAAAAUAUGGCAAACGACGCAAGGACAGGGAUGAGUUGCAAGAUGUGGAAAACCCAGCCAGCAUUGUCAAGAAGAGGAGAAAAAAGAAAGUUGUUAGGACUGAAUGUGAAGUGCACAUGUACCUAUCCCACGAUGAUGCAUGGUGGACUAUUGACCGUUUCGAGGACGGCCACAAUCACCCCCUAAUCAAAAAGCCGUCCCUAAAAAAAUUCUUAUCAUCACAUCGGUACAUUCCUAGGGAGGAGCAGGACUUCUUGAGGGUUCUGCACGGAUGCAACGUUGAGACUGCGAGGCAGAUGCAGCUGAUGUCAUGGUUCUACGGGAGCGCUACAGACGUACCCUACACGACACAAGACAUUGCUAAUCAACGAGCUAAGUUCCGCUUAGAGCACCGCCACGCGGACGUUGGGAGCACAAUUUCAUACUUCCAAGAUAUAAGGGCCAAAGAUUCAUAUUUCUACUGGAGAAUCAAACUUGAUGAUGAGAUGGAUAAAUAUGGACAGAUCGACCACGAACAUUUUCACUGGUUGUGGGAAAAUAGGAAAUGUUGGGCCCCGGUGUACUACAUGAAGCAUUUCUUUCCAUUCUUGCACACAACUGCAAGGAGCGAGGGAUUCAAUGCUGUGCUCAAGAAGUACGUGAACCCCAACAACUCAUUGAUCGAAUUCGCAACUCAAUACACUGCAAUCCAGGAGAAAGUAAUGGUGGCUGUGGCAAAAGAGCAAGUGGACACAAUUUACAAAGAGGCAGACAUGUAUUCAUUGAACCCAAUCGAGUUGCAGAUGCGAGGGAUAUACACACAAAAUCUGUUCUCCAAGUUCCAGGUAGAGAUGAAGCUAAAGACUGCUUACGGAUGCGACACUUUGCAAGAUGGAACCUUCAGGAUGUGGUCGCUCCGAGGCAUACUACCAAAGUAUGGGGAUAGGGACUACCAUGUGCAGGCGAACAAGGAUGAAGGGGUAUACUCAUGCACUUGCUGCAAGUUUGAUCGUGAUGGGCUAUUGUGCGCACACAUACUGCGUGUAAUGGAACAGAUUGGAGUCUACGAGAUACCGAGGAGGUAUAUCCUAGAUAGGUGGACAUGGGAUCCAGAGGAGGAUCUUGUUCAGCCUGAUUACCAACAGCCAACAGUUAAGAAGGGUAUGACAGAGGAAGGAAAAAAUAUCAUGAGAUAUACAUCUCUUCUGAAUGAUUUCAAGGAACAAGCAAAAGAUGCUUGCACUACUGAUGAAGGGAUGGCAUUGGCAAGGAAACACGUUAAUGCUUUCAGAGACGACAUGGAUGCGCUAAAAAAGAGGCAGAUAAAGAAAGCAAGAAAGGAAAAAGAUGAGGAAAAAGAAGCAGAAAUGUUUUCUUCACCACCACGGACUAGUGCCACUGAAGGUGUCCCAGUAGCGCAUCAAGGAAGCAUUCCUGUCACGCAUGUUUCUGGCAAUAUUUUUCAGUUCCAGGGCUCACAUGCCGAGGGAUCCCAAUCAUCAAACACAAGGGUGAUACUAGACCCACCAAAGUCUACUACGAAAGGGCGUCCAAGAGAGAAAAGAUUUCAGCACCCAUUUGACAUUGCAAAACCAAAAAAAGAUAGGAAAUGUAGAGUGUGCGGGUCGACAAAACAUGAUAAACGCAAAUGUACCUCACCCAUACCGCACUGA
rnacentral:rRNA from 1 species